rnacentral:rRNA from 1 species
UACAGAGGUCUCAAGCGUUGUUCGGAUUCAUUGGGCGUAAAGGGUGCGUAGGCGGCGCGGUAAGUCGGGUGUGAAAUCUCGGGGCUUAACUCCGAAACUGCAUUCGAUACUGCCGUGCUUGAGGACUGGAGAGGAGACUGGAAUUUACGGUGUAGCGGUGAAAUGCGUAGAUAUCGUAAGGAAGACCAGUGGCGAAGGCGGUUCUCUGGGCCUGUACUGACGCUGAGGAGCGAAAGCGUGGGGAGCAAACAGG